UACGUAGGGUGCGAGCGUUGUCCGGAAUUAUUGGGCGUAAAGAGCUCGUAGGCGGCUUGUCGCGUCGGAUGUGAAAGCCCGGGGCUUAACUCCGGGUCUGCAUUCGAUACGGGCAGGCUAGAGUUCGGUAGGGAGAUCGGAAUUCCUGGUGUAGCGGUGAAAUGCGCAGAUAUCAGGAGGAACACCGGUGGCGAAGGCGGAUCUCUGGGCCGAUACUGACGCUGAGGAGCGAAAGCGUGGGGAGCGAAUAGG
rnacentral:rRNA from 1 species